rnacentral:rRNA from 2 species
UACGGAGGGUGCGAGCGUUGUCCGGAAUCACUGGGCGUAAAGGGCGCGUAGGUGGCCCGUUAAGUGGCUGGUGAAAUCCCGCGGCUCAACUGCGGGGCUGCCGGUCAGACUGGCGAGCUAGAGCACGGUAGGGGCAGAUGGAAUUCCCGGUGUAGCGGUGGAAUGCGUAGAGAUCGGGAAGAAUACCAGUGGCGAAGGCGUUCUGCUGGGCCGUUGCUGACACUGAGGCGCGACAGCGUGGGGAGCAAACAGG